UACAGAGGGUGCAAGCGUUAAUCGGAAUUACUGGGCGUAAAGCGUGCGUAGACGGUCACGUAAGUCGGGUGUGAAAGCCCCGGGCUCAACCUGGGAAUUGCAUUCGAGACUGCAUGGCUAGGGUGCGGAAGAGGGAAGCGGAAUUUCCGGUGUAGCGGUGAAAUGCGUAGAUAUCGGAAGGAACACCAGUGGCGAAGGCGGCUUCCUGGUCCAGCACCGACGUUCAGGCACGAAAGCGUGGGGAGCAAACAGG
rnacentral:rRNA from 1 species